CCCAAAGUGCUGGAAUUACUGGCAAGAUCCACCACACCCAGUCUAAAUGCAUCUGAAUAUAACAUGACUCUCCUAGAGAAAAACCUGGAACCCAGAGCACCUGAAUAGAAACUCUUAAUUAUAUCAAUGAGGAAUAGUUAACUUAGCCAAGUUUCCAUUGAAUAUGAAGAACUGUAAAAUAAUGUCAGUUCUAGCCAAGAACUGAAAAGUAAUGUCAGUACUCUAUAAUGUGUAAUUCAUAGUUGCUACAUGUAAUCAGGCUUGGCCAAUUGUUUCCAGGAAGAUGGCACCCUCAUUUCUGAAUGAGGAUGACCAUUUUCCACUAAUCCAGAGGUAAAACAGUCAUUGUAACUGCACUGAAAUUUGCUGUAUCAAGUGAGACAUGAAGGUAAAUGUCAUUGGCCCAGAGUAAUUAGUCUUUUCCAGUGCUUAAAGGAAGGGAGAGAAACUAAUGCCUAUUGAGUGCCUUCAAAGCUUCUGCAAUGUGCUGGUACCCACAUGUUUCCAAUUAUUCCUCACAACACUAUGGAGAGGUUAUUUUGCCUGUUUUGCUGAUCAGGGAACUGAGACUCACAGAGUGACACCAACCCAUCAGUAUUUCAGGUUUCUGGGGAGGGUCCAGAGAGCAAGGGGGAAGCUGCUAAUUGCUUGUUGGUUCAAGAGAAAUGUUAUCUCAGUAGACUAACGUAUGGACUUUCUGAUGUCAGAAAAUGCAAACUAUGUAGUGUAACCUGUUUGCCAUUUUUUCUUUGUAUCCGCAAACUGACAGCAAAAUAUAUUGCACAAGUAUUAUAAAUCUGUUCAGUUCAAGUGCCAGAGAACAUUUACUCUGCUUCCUUCAUGAGUGGUGAGCAUGCCUGCUCCCCUACAAACUCACCAGCUCAGAGCAUUAUCAGGCUUCUCAUCUCUGCCAACCUGGUAAGUACAAAGGGCAUCUCUUGUAGUUUCGGUUGCAUUUUUCUCAUUAUGAGAUUGAGCAGCAGACAAUGUCUUUAAAAGACUUAUUUUGCUCUGGGUUUUAAUCUUAAAAUACUCUAAAUCCUCUUAGAAGUAGGUAGGGUCAGAUCUUCAAUCUGGAUGGAUUUACGUAAUGGGUCUAUGAAAGGGAUAGAAAGUCAAAGCAAGGGGGUGAGGCGGGGGAAUGAUGCGAAGUCAAAGCCCUCCCCCUCGGGGGCCCCUAGCCCAUCCCUGAUCCCUCACCCUUUGCAGGGCAUGUCCAGAGCUGCCACUGCCCUGGGCCUCCACCCCACAGCCCAGGACCACACCUUAACCUGGAAAGUCGUGGACCUCCUCAGGGGAGCUCAGGGAUCAGAUGGGCCGAUGGGUGUUACUGUGGCCAGGAGCACUGGGUCUUGAGUAUGUGGGUGGAACUUUCCCUCAUCCCCUGACCACGUCUAACCACAUGGCCUCUCCACUUUGAUAGUGGCGAGAAGAGUAGCCUCUUGCUUUUGCAUGUUUUCCUAAUCACAGCGUGCUUUCUUGUCUGCUAUUUCAUUUGACUUUUUUCAACCAGCCGCUGAGGUGGGGAUUAUUAGCACGCCCUUUGCAGAUGAGGAAACUGAAGCCCAGGGAGCUUUGGCAACCUGCCCAAGGUCACACAGCCAGUGAAGGAAAGGGCUGAAAUCAAACCAGGCCUGUCUGACUGCAAGGCAGGGUCUUACGGCUGCCUCCGGUGGGUAGGUCCGGGACCCAGCUGGUUUCCGUCCUGUGGCUCAGGUGCGAGGAGAGCCUCCCUGGGCCACCUGGGGAAGUCUGACUGACGUGCCAGAUCCUCACAGAACAAAGGAGAGAAGGGGACUCCUGAGAGGCCCCAGCAGCGUUAUCUGGGCAGAGAAAGUGAGUUUGAAGACCUCACACUCCAUCUGGACUUUAUCAGCUCCUUUCCUGGCACCCCCUCUCUCAGCACCAGGGAGCUCCUCCAGGAGCACUUCCUCCCAUGUCUGUGUUCGCCGUUAAGACUGGACACACCAGGAUGAUCUUUCAACUUUGGGUCCAAAGGCCCUCAGUGGAUGUAAAAUAGGUACAUGAGGCCUUGAACUGAACAUUUUUUUCACUUCACCAUAACCUGGAUUUUCCCAGUUUAGGAGCAUCUGUUUGUCUUGAUAACGUUUGGAACAAAGUGAAAAAAACUGGACUUUGAAGAGAACUUCAGGUGAAUUACACAUUUAAGUCAGAUUUUCCAUGUCUUUGUCCCAUGUUCAGUAAUUCAAGCUGUUAGGAGCCCUCAACUUUGUACAUAUAUUUCCUUCCUAUCUCUGCCUCUUCAUACCUGGUACUUACCGUGGAAUUUGAAAUCUUUCUGUGGCUGUAAGCAAGAAAGGCGGGAAAAAUACAAGAAGUUAAAGGGGAUUGGAUGGUUCAGAUUUGGUUGAUGAAUGAGAUGGUUUAGAGGCAUGUCUUGUAAGAGAUAAUUUUCUAUGUGCCAGGUACUAUUUAUGAAUCCCACAUUAUCUUAUUAAUGCUCACAACAAGCCUUGGGGGUAAAUAGAUUAUCAUCGCCAUUUCACAGAUUAGGAAAGUGAGGUUUCAGCAGUCAAUUGCUCAAAGGUCUCCUGCUAGUGAAACAGUCGUCUAUCCAAACAGUCUGAAUGACCUGUGCACAUGGGAACGUGCCACGCAAGCCAAGGGCAGGAAGGAUGAGAAGAGGUGGGCAGAAAGCCAGCUGGGAUGAAUGAAGGACCUACUACGUGCAGGCCCAGGGUCAGACAUUUUAUUUUCUUGAUUGCACUUCAGCCUCCCAGCAGCCCUGUUUUACAGAUGAAGAAACUGAGGCUCAAAGAGCUGGAGAAAGUUGUUGCCCAGGGUCCUGUGGAGAGAAAACUCAAGCUCCGGCUGUUCCACUACUCUGGGACACCACCCCCAGUGGGAACCCCACUUUUACAAGGAUUCGAAGGUAGGUGAGGACUUAUCUCCUGAAAUAAUUAGUAUACUUACUUUUUUGUUACAUAUUCCCACUAAAGGUUUGCAGCCCCACCCAGCUUGAAUAUCAGGAGAAUGGCAACAAAAUCUGGUUCAAGGCUCACAGAAUCCACGAAAGAUGCCAGCCCCUCCACGGUUGGAGAGUGAUUCACAAAUGUGUCUUUAAGGACUUUCCCAGGCCGGGCACA
rnacentral:lncRNA from 1 species